rnacentral:rRNA from 1 species
GCGACAAAUGCCCUGCUUCCAGGAAAAGCCUCUAAGCAUCAGGUAACAUCAAAUCGUACCCCAAACCGACACAGGUGGUCAGGUAGAGAAUACCAAGGCGCUUGAGAGAACUCGGGUGAAGGAACUAGGCAAAAUGGUGCCGUAACUUCGGGAGAAGGCACGCUGAUAUGUAGGUGAAGCGACUUGCUCGUGGAGCUGAAAUCAGUCGAAGAUACCAGCUGGCUGCAACUGUUUAUUAAAAACACAGCACUGUGCAAACACGAAAGUGGACGUAUACGGUGUGACGCCUGCCCGGUGCCGGAAGGUUAAUUGAUGGGGUUAGCGGUAACGCGAAGCUCUUGAUCGAAGCCCCGGUAAACGGCGGCCGUAACUAUAACGGUCCUAAGGUAGCGAAAUUCCUUGUCGGGUAAGUUCCGACCUGCACGAAUGGCGUAAUGAUGGCCAGGCUGUCUCCACCCGAGACUCAGUGAAAUUGAACUCGCUGUGAAGAUGCAGUGUACCCGCGGCAAGACGGAAAGACCCCGUGAACCUUUACUAUAGCUUGACACUGAACAUUGAGCCUUGAUGUGUAGGAUAGGUGGGAGGCUUUGAAGUGUGGACGCCAGUCUGCAUGGAGCCGACCUUGAAAUACCACCCUUUAAUGUUUGAUGUUCUAACGUGGGCCCCUUACCGGGGUUGCGGACAGUGUCUGGUGGGUAGUUUGACUGGGGCGGUCUCCUCCUAAAGAGUAACGGAGGAGCACGAAGGUUGGCUAAUCCUGGUCGGACAUCAGGAGGUUAGUGCAAUGGCAUAAGCCAGCUUGACUGCGAGCGUGACGGCGCGAGCAGGUGCGAAAGCAGGUCAUAGUGAUCCGGUGGUUCUGAAUGGAAGGGCCAUCGCUCAACGGAUAAAAGGUACUCCGGGGAUAACAGGCUGAUACCGCCCAAGAGUUCAUAUCGACGGCGGUGUUUGGCACCUCGAUGUCGGCUCAUCACAUCCUGGGGCUGAAGUAGGUCCCAAGGGUAUGGCUGUUCGCCAUUUAAAGUGGUACGCGAGCUGGGUUUAGAACGUCGUGAGACAGUUCGGUCCCUAUCUGCCGUGGGCGCUGGAGAACUGAGGGGGGCUGCUCCUAGUACGAGAGGACCGGAGUGGACGCAUCACUGGUGUUCGGGUUGUCAUGCCAAUGGCACUGCCCGGUAGCUAAAUGCGGAAGAGAUAAGUGCUGAAAGCAUCUAAGCACGAAACUUGCCCCGAGAUGAGUUCUCCCUGACUCCUUGAGAGUCCUGAAGGAACGUUGAAGACGACGACGUUGAUAGGCCGGGUGUGUAAGCGCAGCGAUGCGUUGAGCUAACCGGUACUAAUGAACCGUGAGGCUUAACCUU